rnacentral:rRNA from 1 species
UACGGAGGAUCCAAGCGUUAUCCGGAUUUAUUGGGUUUAAAGGGUGCGUAGGCGAAUUGAUAAGUUAGAGGUGAAAUGUCCGAGCUCAACUCGGGAACUGCCUCUAAUACUGUUGAUCUAGAGAGUAGAUGCGGUAGGCGGAAUGUAUGGUGUAGCGGUGAAAUGCUUAGAGAUCAUACAGAACACCGAUUGCGAAGGCAGCUUACCAAUCUAUAUCUGACGUUGAGGCACGAAAGCGUGGGGAGCAAACAGG